rnacentral:rRNA from 1 species
UGCCAGCCGCCGCGGUAACACGGAGGGUGCAAGCGUUAUCCGGAAUCACUGGGUUUAAAGGGUGCGUAGGCGGCGCUAUAAGUCAGAGGCGAAAGGCCACAGCUUAACUGUGGGACUGCCUUUGAUACUGUAGUGCUUGAAUUAGGCUGAGGUCGGCGGAAUGUGACAUGUAGCGGUGAAAUGCUUAGAUAUGUCAUAGAACACCAAUUGCGAAGGCAGCUGACUAGACCUUAAUUGACGCUGAGGCACGAAAGCGUGGGUAGCAAACGGGAUUAGAUA